rnacentral:lncRNA from 1 species
CUGAACAUAGAAAAUGAUAGUGCAAAUUUCAGGUUAAAGUUUUUGGUCAAGGUAGUUUUUGAUAAAGUAGAAGUCCAAUCAACUUGAAACUUAGUAUACAUGUUCCCUUUGAUAAGAUCAUUCUAAUUUUAAUGCCAAAUUAGAGAAUUUAUUCCAAUUUCACAGUCCUUUAAACAUAGAAAAUGAUAGUGUGAGUGGGGCAUCCGUGUACUGUGGACACAUUCUUGUUUAUACUUGAUUUA